rnacentral:rRNA from 1 species
AACGAACGCUGGCGGCAUGCCUAACACAUGCAAGUCGAACGAGAUCUUCGGGUCUAGUGGCGCACGGGUGCGUAACGCGUGGGAAUCUGCCCUUUGGUUCGGAAUAACAGUUGGAAACGACUGCUAAUACCGGAUGAUGACGAAAGUCCAAAGAUUUAUCGCCAGAGGAUGAGCCCGCGUAGGAUUAGCUAGUUGGUGUGGUAAAGGCGCAUCAAGGCGACGAUCCUUAGCUGGUCUGAGAGGAUGAUCAGCCACACUGGGACUGAGACACGGCCCAGACUCCUACGGGAGGCAGCAGUGGGGAAUAUUGGACAAUGGGCGAAAGCCUGAUCCAGCAAUGCCGCGUGAGUGAUGAAGGCCUUAGGGUUGUAAAGCUCUUUUACCCGGGAUGAUAAUGACAGUACCGGGAGAAUAAGCUCCGGCUAACUCCGUGCCAGCCGCCGCAGUAAAAC